CUAUACCACAGCAAAGCUGGAUCCUUAAGCCACUGAGAGGGGCCAGGGAUCAAAUCUGCGUCCUCGUGGAUACUAGUCUGGUUUAUUACCGUUGAUCCACGAUGGGAAUCCUCCUUUGCGUCUUCUAACCUCGGACUCUGACAAGCCAAAGCGGAUCUCAGACACGUGUAGCUCCUGCCUGGUUGACAGUCCCUGGUUGACAGUCCCUAAAAUGUUAAUGGGGUGACCUCUUACUUCACUCCCACCGGCUUUACUUUGACUGGUAGGAAUUGCUUCUGGAGUGUUCCAACUGCAGGCACCCCCUGCGAGGUGUCUCAGGUGUGUGCCACUUGCCGGGGUGACACUUAUUGUGAUGGGUUCUCAAAUCCUGUCUCAAAUGGCAGGUGGGGGCCCGAGGCACUUGGAAGGGACAGGGUCUGGGGGGCUGGAGACACCGAAGUGGCCUCCACCAUCUGCUCCACCGUCUCACUUAGGGCUGAGGCUACAGUCUGGGAAUCACACUGGCACUCUGGCUACCACUGGGGCUUCUUGGCUCAGACCCUGGGCCAUGGUGGAGGCCAGAGGCAGGCCCAGCUCCCAGCUGCCCCAAAGGAAUCCCCUGCACAGCGUGAGGAGGGGCCUGCCAUCACAGCGGAACAGAAGAGGCUCCAAAUAUUCCCUUUUGGGGCUGCAGAAAGGAAGCCAAGCGAAAUGUGAAGAGGUGUCUGAAAGCCCAGAGGAAACCAGUAGGCCUUUCCAGAAGUUCUAUUUGUGGUAAGAAGCCUUGGCAUGGGGCAACCGGCUCGACUGCAAAAAUAGACUGAGGUGCCGAGAAACGGCUCAAUUCUGGAAGCAAAUGUCCCUCCUCAGAAGCAGGGAAGGCUCUGCCCCUCUCUGCUGCUUCCCUCUGGACCCCAGCAUCAAAGAGAGAGAGUGAGAGAAGCUAAACAUUGUGAAAUGAACUCUCAGAGUGUUGCCACACUGUUCCUGUUAUGUGGGGCCCCUGGAAACACAGGGCAAAGAAAGUCUCAUGCAAGCGCCUGGAAACCGAGCGGGCCAAGGCCCAUCCUCAGGUCUCACGGGACCCGCUUGCCGUCACUAUGUUCUUUCUCUCCUUUGCCUCCCAAUGGGGAGGACGACUAAGCAAGAUGGGGUCCGACAUGCAGCAGCGGAAGGGAGCGUGGCUAGUCAGGAAAGGUAGACCUGGAAGUGAUCAAAGCCAGGUCCCCUAGGAAAGGCUGGUCUGGAGACCCUUCUUUACAACGCCGGGCUGACAGCCUGCUGGGGGUUUAAGAUGCAACCGCGAAAGGAGAGGAGACCAAGAUGUUCGACGUCCCUCCUAACUCUGGAGGUCUGCCAUGGCCAUCUGCCUUUUGGGGGACUCCUGUGGCUCCUUUGUGGGGCACAAGCUUUCACACUCUUAGGAGGACGACCUCGCAGCUCCGCAGCGGUAAGAGGACUGCGAGCCCUCCAUGUAGGUGUCCAUCCGCUUCCCGACAUCGGGGUGGAACCCAGCCUGAAGGCCCUCUGGGUGGUCCCGAGUAAGCCCGCCACACUUUCCCGGACUCCUGGCUGCUGUGAACAGAUCCAAAAGUGCAGGGGCACAGGCAGCGUCGUGCUUCUGGGAAAGGGGUGCGUUAUUUUAUGGCCCAAGCAAAGGAGCGUAUGCCCAGCGCCUCUGCCGCUGGGACUGGGAUACGUCAAUCAAAUCCGCUUGCUCCUCCUCCCCCAGGAGAUGGGCGGGUCUUUCCAUCUUUUCAGCCUAGAACUGUCUACGUCCAGCUGUGGCUUUGCACUCAGCUGCCACUCAGCCCGUUGGAGUUGAAAGGUCAAAUGUCAUCAGGAAUUAGCAGCCCGGCUUACCAGCAGCUCUUCUGUCUUCGGAGAAUACAGGGCCGCUGUCAGAGGGCUUAGACAGGGACUAGGGAGGAAAUUCCCUCUGCGCCAACGGAGGAAGCUCACCCAUCCUGGAGGGAAAAUGGCAGGAUCCGCCCCAGGAACUUUAUAGCUGGUGGUUAAGAUCCCCAUGCAAACAAGCAGGAGGGAGAAUGAGGGAGGUUGUCAGGAAGAGAGAAGGAAAGCCGGGCAGAGGGUGGUGAGUGGGAAGGAGCCCCAAGCCAGGCUCAGGAGGGCCAGGGCAUUGAGAGAUCCGUCUGCAAGCUGGAUUCCGCAGGGCAUUUGGUCUUGCAGGAGGUGGGCACGUGACCCAGGCCAAUCAGCGAGCCAAUAGAGAGCCCCCUUGCCCUGGUGGCGCUGUGGGGAGGAGUCUCCAGCCUGCUCCCCGGCCCUGCGCUGGAAGGUGGUGUUGCUGGCAGCCCUUCUCCAAUCCGCAUUGAGAACGCAUGUGCAAUGAUAGAACUGGACGACCCAGUUUGAGGGAGCCCUGGGGUCCUGGAUACAUUUGUGCCCAGUGCACCUCAUCCUUUCCCGGUCCACACUCGCAGCAUGUGGAGGUUCCCAGGCUACAGA